rnacentral:rRNA from 1 species
UUCAUGGAGAGUUUGAUCCUGGCUCAGGACGAACGCUGGCGGCGUGCCUAAUACAUGCAAGUCGAGCGGACCGACGGGAGCUUGCUCCCUUAGGUCAGCGGCGGACGGGUGAGUAACACGUGGGUAACCUGCCUGUAAGACUGGGAUAACUCCGGGAAACCGGGGCUAAUACCGGAUGCUUGAUUGAACCGCAUGGUUCAAUCAUAAAAGGUGGCUUUUAGCUACCACUUACAGAUGGACCCGCGGCGCAUUAGCUAGUUGGUGAGGUAACGGCUCACCAAGGCGACGAUGCGUAGCCGACCUGAGAGGGUGAUCGGCCACACUGGGACUGAGACACGGCCCAGACUCCUACGGGAGGCAGCAGUAGGGAAUCUUCCGCAAUGGACGAAAGUCUGACGGAGCAACGCCGCGUGAGUGAUGAAGGUUUUCGGAUCGUAAAACUCUGUUGUUAGGGAAGAACAAGUACCGUUCGAAUAGGGCGGCACCUUGACGGUACCUAACCAGAAAGCCACGGCUAACUACGUGCCAGCAGCCGCGGUAAUACGUAGGUGGCAAGCGUU